GCGGGCGUAGCUCAAUGGCUAGAGCAUCUGCCUUCCAAGCAGACGGUUGUGGGUUCGAGUCCCAUCGCCCGCUCCA
rnacentral:tRNA from 2 species